UUUUGUAAGAAAAGGUAAAUUGUGUGUGCUGACGAAUUGUUUUAUUUUAAAGUACAACAUGACGUUGCACUACAUUAUCACGUGACAACAACAUAAAUAAGCUGAAAAGUUCGUAAAUUAUACUUAUAGAUAUUGAAAAGUCUUAAAGUUUGAUUUCUAUCUUUCAAAAUAACAGCGAUGGAUUUUUUAUUUGGGAAGCGAAAAACUCCUGAAGAAAUGCUGAAGCAAAAUCAGCGCGCUCUAAACCGGGCUAUGAGAGAUUUGGACAGAGAAAGAGGAAAACUUGAAGCUCAAGAAAAGAAAGUUAUUGCUGAUAUAAAAAAGAUGGCUAAGCAAGGUCAAAUGGAUGCAGUGAAAAUUAUGGCAAAAGAUUUGAUUCGAACAAGGAGAUAUGUAAAAAAGUUCAUGUUGAUGAGAACAAAUAUUCAAGCUGUCUCCCUUAGAAUUCAGACUUUACGUUCGUCAAAUCAAAUGGCUCAAGCAAUGAAAGGUGUUGCUAAGGCAAUGGGUACUAUGAACAAGCAAUUGAAGUUGCCUCAGAUACAGAAAAUCAUGAUGGAUUUUGAAAAACAGUCUGAGAUUAUGGAUAUGAAAGAGGAAAUGAUGAAUGAUGCCCUUGAUGAUGCUCUUGGAGAUGAAGAUGAUGAAGAAGAAAGUGAUGCAAUUGUAACUCAGGUCUUAGAUGAACUUGGACUUCAACUAAAUGAUGAGUUGACUGGCCUGCCACAAGCUGGAGGUUCUAUUGGUUCAACAAGUAAGGCAACGGAUAAAACUCCAGUUGCAGCUGAUGCUGAUGCAGAUUUACAAGCAAGGUUGGAAAACCUACGGAGAGAAUGAGGCAUCUAUGAAUCGCAAAAUCCAAUAAGAGCUUGAAAAAAUGUAACCAAUAACAAUGCCAGAUCUCAUCGAAAUGAGCCAAUAAUAUCAGGUUACCAAAUGAUCUUAACACACAUCAAUCACUUUUUCACUGCCAGAUGCCCCGAAGACUCGAAAAUGAAAGGAAAAGAUGCUAAUUUCUUCUUGACUAUAAAUACUCACAAAGAAUGCAACCGAAAUCGUAUCCUAAUGUUGAAAUUUGAAAAAAGAUAAAAGGAAUAGUUAUGGAAAGAAUAGGAAGAAAACUAAAAAGAAGAUACUCGAAUGAAACAGACAAUCCGACUGAGAGUGUGUUUAGGAAUUUACUUGUGCACAUAUUCAAAUUUUUUGGCGUUAACAAAUUUUGUCUUAAAUAUUUUUUAUUAUCUAAUCAUUGUCUUCAUAUUUUUCUGCCAAUACAUGAGUGCUAUGUUAAAACAAAAAAGAAGCUUUAUACGUUUUUGGCAGGAAUGAUUGGACUACAAGUCAAAACUAUUGUGAGUAAUCCAUCUUUCGUUCAAUAGCAUAUAAAAUAACAAAGAAGUCUAUAUGACUUCCUUCUUUUGAAAUCUACAAAAUAUCAAAAGAAAUUCAUUGGAAAAAAUAUACUCGUGAAACGAAAAUAAAGCUUGUGUGCAUGCUGUAGGUAUAUUUGUCGAUACACUGGGAGCUUAAAGUUUUGAUUUCGCCUAUUAUUUUUUAUUAAAUAAGUAAUUUAAAACAAUCAUUGUGAACGAUCUAUCUGAACUCUACGUUCAAUGGCAUAUAAAGAAGUCUAUACGACUUUCUUUUGAAAUAUAUAAAAAUUCAAAAGAAAUAUUCUUUGGAAGAAUUCUACUCAUGAAAGAAAACCAGUAAAUAAAUUUUGUGUGAAUUUUAAAACAAAUGCUGCUCGGUUUAUAGAGUAAGGAUUGUUAGAUAUAAUAAGUCAAAAAUUAUUGUGGUGCAUGAUCGAUUCAUAUAAAUUAUAUAUACGUCCAGACCAAAUAAAGAAGUCUAUAUGACUUCCACUUGAAAUUUAUAAGGUAUUAAAAGAAAAACUUUAAAAGAAGAAAUCUAUUCAUGAAACAAAUGUAGAUGUCAUAUUUGUCCACAUCCAUAUUUUUUCCAUACAUUAGCAACUUUAAGUCUUCAUUUGCCCACUAUUCUCUUAUUAAUUAAAAAAGUAAGUAAAUAGUAUUGUUGUAAAUAUCAUUAUGAAUGAAAACGUUCAAGAAUUGACUGCAAGACGUA